AUGAACACAUAUCAAAACUUUUUGUCUCUGUACAUGUAUAGGAGUAGUCGAGUGCUUAAUUAGAUUAGCAUGGUACUACUCCUGUGAGUAGCAGAAGUAAAGAUUAGAUUAGCAUUGUAAAAAGCCGUCGUAUCCUAUGAAUCCUGGGUCAUCUGUGCAUCCGGUGCUUUACAGCCUUCGAAUUGUAAUCGUGCCGGUCGACUCAAUUUUAGAAAGUUUUGCAGUUAAAAGCCCACUUUGAGCUCUCGACGGCGGCGGGCGACGAAGUCAGCACACGUCCAGGUCUCUGUCCAGCCCUGGCCACGCCCGUCACCUUUUUGCUUUGGCCUGACGCCAAGGCCGCCGCCAGCAACGAGGUGCUUUGGCCUGACGCCAAGGCCGCCGCCGGCAACGACGUCCUUGUCGGUUCGACUUGGAUAACCAGACGCUUGAACUGUACUUGAAUGGAGAAGUCCCAUAGAGCUAUCUCAAAGAUCAAUCUCCUUUUUGCGCUGCACUUAUCUGCAUGCCUCCCUCUGUUUCUCGUGUGCCAGAGCAUCAGAAUAUCAGACCAUCAUGUAUUACGCAUAAGGAACACCUCAAUUUCCAAUAAGAACAAGGCAAUAUGAAUUUGUUUCUAUCUGAAAUUUCCACUCACGACAAAAAAUACAGUCAUUCGUUUCUCAAAAUUCACCAACCAUGUACAUACACACUCUAAACUCCAAGGCUGCCUUUGUUUAGGCUGGAGCUAAUAACAAGCUAGCUGGAGCUGGAAGAAACUAAUUUUCUGCUGGAGCUGAACCUCGCUUGCUUUUCGUUUAGGGUAGCAGUGAAACUGUGGCUCUAGCUGGAUGGCAGUAGAAUGUCUGAAAUGGCCCUACUUGCUGCAAAUUUUGAUCAAAUGUUGAGUUUGUUGAUGUAAGUGCAACUGCCAAAUUUAAGAGUUGUUUUAAAAUACCUAAUAUUUAUGGGAUUUAUACGAGAUUGUGUGUUUUGGCUAGAUUUAGCAAGCGUUGCUUGAUUUCAAGGAGUAUUAUUAAAGUUAUAAUUAAGUACCGUAAAAAAUCAUGGUCACGGCAGAUAGAGAGCAAGGAAUGAAGAUGGAUUCAACAUACAAAUAUAAUUAAGAAGCAGCGUCGUGGCGUUGGUCGUGGAACAAGAAGCGGCG
rnacentral:lncRNA from 1 species